rnacentral:rRNA from 1 species
GAUGAACGCUCGCGGCAGGCCUAACACAUGCAAGUCGAGGGAGAAGCCCUUUCGGGGGCAGAAACCGGCGCACGGGUGCGUAACGCGUAUGCAACCUACCUUUCACAGGGGGAUAGCCCGAAGAAAUUUGGAUUAAUACCCCAUAAUUUUAUUGGAUGGCAUCAUUUGAUAAUUAAAACUGCGGUGGUGAAAGAUGGGCAUGCGUCCUAUUAGCUAGUUGGAGUGGUAACGGCACCCCAAGGCUACGAUAGGUAGGGGUCCUGAGAGGGAGAUCCCCCACACUGGUACUGAGACAGGGACCAGACUCCUACGGGAGGCAGCAGUGAGGAAUAUUGGUCAAUGGUCGGAAGACUGAACCAGCCAUGCCGCGUGCAGGAAGAAUGCCUUAUGGGUUGUAAACUGCUUUUAUAGGGGAAGAAUAAGGCGUACGUGUACGUUGAUGACGGUACCAUAUGAAUAAGCAUCGGCUAACUCCGUG